GUUUAUUUGAGAAUCUUUCUUUUUUCUUAAUGUAGGCAUUUAUUGCUAUAGACUGCCCUCUCAGAACUUCUUUUGCAGCAUCCCAUAUAUUUUGGCAUGUUGUAUUUCCAUUUUCAUUUGUUUCAAGAUAUUUUUUUUAAUUUCUUCUUUGACACACUGGUUGUUCAGGAAUGUCUUGUUUAAUUUCCACGUAUUUGUGAAUUUUCCAACUUCCCUCCUGUUAUUGAUUUCUAGUUUCAUACCAUUGUGGUUGGAAAAGAUACAUCAUAUGAUUUCAAUCUUCUCAAAUUUGCUAAGACUUGUUUUGUGACCUAUCAUAUAAUCUAUCCUGGAGAAUGUUCUCUGUGCACUUGAGAAGAAUAUGUAUUCUGCUGCCAUUGAGUGGAAUGUUCUAGAUGUCUGGUCUAAAGUAUAGUUCAAGUUUAACAUUUCGUUAUAGUUUUCUGUCUGGAUGAUCUAUCCAUUGUUGAAAGUGGGAUAUUGAUUUAGACAUAUUUUUGAAGAUUGCAUGGCCAGUAAACAGCAGACCUUGACAUUGUAGGUGGGAAUAGAUUCAAUUAUUUCUUACAAGUUCAAGGCAUUAUUAUAGGCUAACUAAAUACAGAAACAAUAAUCUCUUUCUCUGACUUCUCAUUCUUGAAAAAUUGAGUCAAGUAACAAACUAUCCUUGAAAGACUCAAACAUUUCAUCUGUAGACAACUCAGACUUCACAGAGGCAUUAACUGAUUGUUCAUUUGGAGGUACCCAUGCUUGACUCUAGCCCAUGGCACUCAUGCUGCCUCCUUCCCCUCCUUUAUACCCGUCAGACAUUAUUAGUUGAAAAAUAGCACUCUCUCGACUGAACAGUCUCAAAAGUUAACAGUUCUCUACACAGCGUUUCAGGGAAGGAUGGCAAAUUGUUUCCAUUGCAGUCAACAUAACAGAUAAACUCGAUUUGCUAUCCCUGAUGGAGACUCAGAGAGGACCAUAAGAAGUAGGCUAUCCUUAGAGUAGAGCUGUUCUUAGAGUUCUCUGGUGACAAAGUCUCACUUCACAGAGUCCUCUCAGUCCUGACAAAGCUGGUUCACCUCCUGUUUCACAUGUUUCCAGCAUAGGCAGUCAGGGGUGAAUGAUACCAUAAAACCUUGGAGCAGUUAUUUGCUAGCCUUUAAUAAGAACAGGAGCAUGACCAGGAAAAUGAGACAACGUCCAGCUGCAAAGGACAUCAACCCCCUGAGGGCAGCUGUGGCUGACGGAGGUUCAUCCUUAUUUUGAGAUUGAUGUUUUGCUGAACUGGUAUCAAACUUGCUUUUCUGUCAUACUGGGAAACGACAGCAAUAAGGGCCCAAGUCUGACAUGGCAAAUCUGGGAAGAGGUCUUAUCACAGCAAUUGUUAAUGAAGAAGUUGCAGGUAUCAAGGCUCCAUUUUUCUAGCAAAUCUUUAUUUUCUUGGCAACUGCUAUGGUGACAGGAUGGGAUCUGAGCUCCUUAGCCUGGUGUGUAAGGCCCUUGAUGAUCUUGCUGCAGAGCUGCAGAUGGUUCAUGCUGGAAGGCCCAUAGCUAGCACGCAGGCUUUUUAGGUUGCCUGAUGCCCAAGGGCUCUAGUGCCAAUUAUGCAUUCAACUAGAAAAAAAUCCGCACCCCACCCAAGGUCCAAUGCAAGGAACUGCAGACAACUAAAAGCCCAUCAUUCAGUCCUUCAGAUAGUCAGUCAACAAUAGUUUUUGAUGUUUCCUGUGUUACUUAGGCUCCUGGGGUUGCAGAGUAUUGCAAUUCACUUAAGCAACUUCCAGAAAUCUAAGUUCAAUGAAAAGAUACACAUAACAAAAGAGACUUGAAGUUAAUGGAAAACCAAGAACUCUUUCUACCAUGGAAACUAUCUGGAAGCUCCUUGAGAAUUCAGGGCUGCGAGGAUCAGUGCUGUCAAUCUCCACCUAGUCUAGGUACACUGAGAGCAGCUGCAUCCCCCUACUACCUCUGUCACCCGCUGCUCUGCCUGUCUCCCUCUACUUUGGUUAUUUGUUCUACUCAUACCUUUGGCACAUUCACGGCACCUAGUCCUUCUUUUCUUUGGAACUUUUUAGCUUUGGCUUUUGUUGCCAAUUUGGAUAAAUCUGUCUGCUUUUCCUGGUUUGAAUUUUUCGGACUCUGAUUAGCAGUUUGUCCUUAUUUUGCUGGUGCUUUUGGCAACUAGAGUAACUCGUAAAUUGUUGACGUGAAUUGACUUCUCUUGGGUCAAGUGCUAAAAAAGAGAAGAUCAUAGAGACAUGAGGGGGAUGAUCUUUCUCUCUGCCUUGUGAAGAUACACCAAGAAGACGGUCAUCUGAAAACCAGGAAGAGGGUCCUCACCACGAACCGAAUCAGCCGGCACCUUGAUUUUGGACUUCUCAGCCUUCAGAAUCGAAAGGCUCUUCCGGCAGACUGGAGUGGGGAAAUGUUAAGAGAGGAGAAGAACCUUAAAAAGGAAGAAAGACUCUGGUUCUAGAUGAAGUCUCUAGCUGCUGAUCAUGAAGCCAAUCGCAUCAGUGACAAGAUUCCACUCAAGAAACAGCAUCGGCAAAGCAUCCUGCUUUUUUUUUUUUUUUUAAAGAUUUUAUUUUUUCCUUUGUUCUCCCCAAAGCCCCCCAGUACAUAGUUGUAUAUUCUUCGUUGUGGGUCCUUCCAGUUGUGGCAUGUGGGAUGCUGCCUCAGCGUGGUUUGAUGAGCAGUGCCAUGUCCGUGCCCAGGAUUCGAACCAACAAAACACUGGGCCGCCUGCAGCAGAGCGCGCGAACUUAACCACUCGGCCACGGGGCCAGCCCCCAAAGCAUCCUGCUUUGUACACUUU
ensembl:lncRNA